rnacentral:rRNA from 1 species
CGGUGUUCGCUCGGGCARCGACGCGUCUCCUCCGUCGUGAAAAAUAAGAAACGACUCUCGACAACGGAUAUCUCGGCUCUCGCAUCGAUGAAGAACGUAGCGAAAUGCGAUACUUGGUGUGAAUUGCAGAAUCCCGUGAACCAUCGAGUCUUUGAACGCAAGUUGCGCCCCAAGCCAUUAGGCCGAGGGCACGUCUGCCUGGGUGUCACGCAUCGUCGCCCCCUCUGGACCCUUAGCCCCUCGGGGCUAGGCGGGGGCAAAAAAUGGCCUCCCGUGCGCUGCCCGCUCGCGGUUGGCCUAAAACAGAGUCCUCGACGAUGACAGCGCCGNGACGAUCNUUGGUGACGCCUCGAGCGCGCCUCRUCCUCGGUCGCGUGCRUUUUCGUUCCGUCGGACUCAUCGAGAGACCCUUCUAGCGUCGCACGAUCGAUGCCCGCAUCGUGACCCCAGGUCAGGCGGAGACUACCC